AGCUGGGGGUUGGAAAUCAGCACUGUGAGAAAAGACAGAAAUGACCGUGAUGCGUGCCUCUCUCUAUGAGGAAAAGGAGACAAUUCUACACAAGAUACGACUACAUGGAGUGUCUCCUACUCCCUCUGGACGUCAUGAAAAAGUCUUGUCUACAUACAGAACCCAUAAGCAGUCUAGACUCAUUUCCAAGGCAAGAGGGUUCAGAUGACCUCUGUAUGUUUAUGCCAUAGUUUCUGAAUUAAAUUUUUUCAAUAUAAGUUUUAUUUUGAGACCAAAACGGUGGAAUGAAAUUGCUUGACCCGUCUUCCCCUGGGAAGGCACCCUGAGUGUACAUCCAUCCAAUAAACAAACCUGCCAAGCCUGAGCCAGCUGUCUCCUUCCCCAGCUUUAAGAACACACAUGGUAUGCACUCACUGAUAAGUGGAUACUAGCCCAGAAGCUCAGAAUACAAUUUGCAAAACACAUGAAACUCCAGAAGAACAAAGACAAAAGUAUGGAUACUUCUACCCUUCUUAGAAGGGGGAACAUAACACCCAUGGAAGGAGUUACAGAGACAAAGUAUGGAGAGGAGACUGAAGAAAUGACCAUCCAGAGAUUGCCCCACCUGGGGAUCCAUCCCAUAUACAAUCACCAAACCCAGAUGCUAUUGCAGAUGCCAACAAGUGCUUGCUGACAGGAGCCUGAUAUAGCUGUCUCCUGAGAGACUCUGCCAGUGCCUGACAAAUACAGAAGUGGAUGCUCACAGUCAUCCAUUGGACUGAGCAUAGAGUCUCCAAUGAAUGAGCUAGAGAAAGGACUUAAGGAGCUGAAGGAGUUUGCAGACCCAUAGGAAGAACAACAAUAUGAACUAACCAGUACCCCCCAGAGCUCCCAGGGACUAAACCACCAACAAAAAAGCAUACAUGGUGGGACUCAUGACUCCAGCUGCAUAUGUAGCAGAGGAUGGCCUAGUUAGUCACUAAUGGGAGGAGAGGCCCUUGGUCCUAUGAAGGCUCUAUGCCCCAGUGUUGGAGAAUGCCAGGGCGAGGAAGCAGGAGUGGGUGGGUUGGUGAGCAGGGGGAGGGGGAAGGGACAGGGGGAAGGUGUUUUUAGGAGGGGAACCCAGGAACCAGGAUAACAUUUGAAAUGUAAAUAAACUAUCCAACAACAACAACAACAACAACAACAACAACAAUAAUAAUUAUAAUAAUAAUAAUAAUAAUAAUAAUAAACAGAGAAAGAUUGGAGGAAGGCUCAAUCUAAUUCAGGGUCGAAAUGACUGGCAAAGUUCUGCCCUCCAAUCCCUCCUAGAUUUCCACUCAGAAAAAUAAAGUCCUCACUGGAAUCUGGGUCUUAGCACUGUCUAUCAAUCCAUUCUGCCUUAGGAGAGCGGACACCUUUGGCUUAACUCUGGAUUCAGAGACCAGAAUCAAGAUUCUGAAGAAAAGGUAGACUCCAAAUGGUAGUUGAAAAUGCGUACUCAUUAUGCUAACUGAUAGUCUGCUUAAGUUCAUUUUGAAUGGGCUUACUAGCAGUGAUUCACAUAAAACUGUAGUCACAAGUGUUUCCCCAACCACCCGCCAAUGGAAAACACUGUGUCAAGACUGAAACACUCCAAUGCAAUGGCUGCUGCUUGAGGUGCUGAUGUCACCUGACUGGGAGGGUUGUGACAGGUAGCACAGGUAGGUCUCACUGGUAGCCAUGGACUGGAGCUGUGAGAAGCCAAGGAGCACAUGGGGAAAGCUGUACCUGUUCAUAGCUCUAUGGCAAUAACUGAACUAUGUAUAUAUUUAUUUUUUUAUUUCCUAUUUUAAUUAGAUCUUUGAGAUUCUUGCACAAUGUAUUUGUCAUAUUUAGUCUUCCCUCAACUCCUUCCAGAUCCAGAUCCAUCCUUCAUCCUAAGCAAGUUAAUGUUGUAUCAUUUAAAAAACACAACAAAAAACAAACAAACAAAAAUAAAAUAAACAUCAAGUACAGUUUGUGCUGUU
ensembl:lincRNA Gm2824 predicted gene 2824